rnacentral:rRNA from 1 species
UCUCUCUGAAUCUGCGAACGGCUCCGCAAUCCAGUUGUAAACUAUAGCAAGCUCUCCUAUGAUCGCCCCUUCACGGGGGGGGUCUGGGAAAUAGGGAUAACCCUGGUAAUUCUGAGGCUAAUACCACCACGUAAAACCUGGCUGACUGGGCAACCGGAAGGCUGGGGGGCGUGCAAUUUUUUCGCGAGGUUUACCGGGAAGGGACGCACGUCUGGACCGCGCAAAACGGAUGACUGGGCCUUCGGGACUGGGCUUCUAGCGGCUCUUGCUGUGUGCUUCUGACCUAUCAACUAGAUGGCAGCGUAAGGGACAUGCUAUGGUGACAACGGGUACAGAGGAUUAGGGUUCGAUCCUGGAGAGUGGGCCUGAGAGAUU